rnacentral:lncRNA from 1 species
AUGUUUUCUGUUCAAUGCAUUAACCACAAUGUAGAGACUGUUUUAGACCUUGCCGAUGAUAUGCUAAAACAGAGAGCAAUAAUACUUCUGUGGAAAUUUGGAUCGACAGCAUUUCCUUGCAACCAUUCACAAAAAAGCAAUGGAUGUCUCAUCAACGUCAAAGUAUCGAAAAGGUUUGCAAGAGGAAAGUGGCAAUCCAAGCCGUUGAUGAACAAGGAAAUUCUUUAUCAAAUGCGACUAUAUCCGUUAGAUUGA